GUGUCAGCCGCCGCGGUAAUACGGAGGGUGCCAGCGUUAUCCGGAUUUACUGGGUUUAAAGGGUGUGUAGGCGGACUUUUAAGUCAGGGGUGAAAUCCCGAGGCUCAACCUCGGAACUGCCUUUGAUACUAUUGGUCUUGAAUCUUGUUGAGGUGGGCGGAACGGGUCAUGUAGCGGUGAAAUGCAUAGAUAUGACCCGGAACACCGAUUGCGAAGGCAGCCCGCUAAGCAAGCAUUGACGCUGAGGCACGAAAGCGUGGGGAUCAAACAGGAUUAGAAACCGGGUAGUCC
rnacentral:rRNA from 1 species